rnacentral:lncRNA from 7 species
AUGCGUUUUCUCUUCGGAAAUCCCCCAUUGAAGCGAAAAUCACGUGUUUUCUCUUCGCAAAUCCCCCAUUUAACCAGAAAACCAAGCAUUUUCUCUUCGAGAAUCCCCCAUUUAACCCGAAAAUCAAGCGUUUUCUCAAAUCCCCCAUUUAAGCGAAAAUCACGCGUUUUCUCUUCGCAAAUCCCCCAUUUAACCAGAAAACCAAGCAUUUUCUCUUCGAGAAUCCCCCAUUUAACCCGAAAAUCAUGUGUUUUCUCAAAUCCCCCAUUUAAGCGAAAAUCACGCGAUUUCUCUUCGCAAAUCCCCCAUUUAACCGGAAAACCAAGCAUUUUCUCUUCGAGAAUCCCCCAUUUAACCCGAAAAUCACGUGUUUUCUCAAAUCCCCCAUUUAAGCGAAAAUCACGCGAUUUCUCUUCGCAAAUCCCCCAAUUAACCCAAAAAAUCACGCAUUUUCUCUUCGCAAAUCCCCCAAUUAACCCAAAAAACCACGAGUUUUCUCUUCAGAAAUCCCACAUUUAACCAGAAAUCACACGUUUUCCCUUCGCAAAUCCCCCAUUUAAGUGAAAAUCUCGCGUUUUCUCUUUGAGAAUCGUCAAUUUAAGUGAAAAUCAAGCGUUUUCUCUUUGCAAGUCCCCCAUUUAAGUGAAGAUCACGAAUUUUCUCUUCUCAAAUACCCCAUUUAAGCGAAAAUCACGCGUUUUCUCUUCGGAAAUCCCCCAUUUAACUUGAAAAUCACGUGUUU